CACGUAGUUAGCCGUGGCUUCCUCCGUGGGUACCGUCAUUAUCGUCCCCACUGACAGAGGUUUACAAUCCGAAAACCUUCUUCCCUCACGCGGCGUCGCUGGAUAAGGGUUUCCCCCAUUGUCCAAUAUUCCCCCACUGCUGCCUCCCGUAGGAGUCUGGGCCGUGUCUCAGUCCCAAUGUGGCCGAUCAACCUCUCAGUCCGGCUACUGAUCGUCGACUUGGUGGGCCGUUACCUCACCAACUAUCUAAUCAGACGCGAGCCCAUCUUUCAGCGAUAAAUCUUUGGUACCAAAAGGAUGCCCCUCUGGCACGUUAUGCGGUAUUAGCAGUCGUUUCCAACUGUUGUCCCCCACUGAAAGGCAGGUUGCUCACGUGUUACUCACCCGUCCGCCACUGAUCCGAGGAGCAAGCUCCUCUUCACCGUUCGACUUGCAUGUGUUAGGCGCGCCGCCAGCGUUCGUCCUGAGCCAGGAUCAAACUCU
rnacentral:rRNA from 1 species